GAUGAACGUUGGCGGCGUGCCUAAUACAUGCAAGUCGAGCGAACAGACGAGGAGCUUGCUCCUCUGACGUUAGCGGCGGACGGGUGAGUAACACGUGGAUAACCUACCUAUAAGACUGGGAUAACUUCGGGAAACCGGAGCUAAUACCGGAUAAUAUAUUGAACCGCAUGGUUCAAUAGUGAAAGACGGUUUUGCUGUCACUUAUAGAUGGAUCCGCGCCGCAUUAGCUAGUUGGUAAGGUAACGGCUUACCCAGGCAACGAUGCGUAGCCGACCUGAGAGGGUGAGCGGCCACACUGGAACUGAGACACGGUCCAGACUCAUACGGGAGGCAGCAGUAGGGAAUCUUCCGCAAUGGGCGAAAGCCUAACGGAGCAACGGCGCGGGAGUGAUGAAGGUCUUCGGAUCGUAAAACUCUGUUAUUAGGGAAGAACAAAUGUGUAAGUAACUAUGCACGUCUUGACGGUACCUAAUCAGAAAGCGACGGCUAACUACGUG
rnacentral:rRNA from 1 species